rnacentral:rRNA from 1 species
GACGAACGCUGGCGGCGUGCCUAAUACAUGCAAGUCGAACGCUUCUUUCCUCCCGAGUGCUUGCACUCAAUUGGAAAGAGGAGUGGCGGACGGGUGAGUAACACGUGGGUAACCUACCCAUCAGAGGGGGAUGACACUUGGAAACAGGUGCUAAUACCGCAUAACAGUUUAUGCCGCAUGGCAUAAGAGUGAAAGGCGCUUUCGGGUGUCGCUGAUGGAUGGACCCGCGGUGCAUUAGCUAGUUGGUGAGGUAACGGCUCACCAAGGCCACGAUGCAUAGCCGACCUGAGAGGGUGAUCGGCCACACUGGGACUGAGACACGGCCCAGACUCCUACGGGAGGCAGCAGUAGGGAAUCUUCGGCAAUGGACGAAAGUCUGACCGAGCAACGCCGCGUGAGUGAAGAAGGUUUUCGGAUCGUAAAACUCUGUUGUUAGAGAAGAACAAGGACGUUAGUAACUGAACGUCCCCUGACGGUAUCUAACCGGAAAGCCACGGCUAACUACGUG